AUGACAUCCACGUGUGCAUUCAUCGUUAUGAUUGUUACCGCCUAUGUUUCUGCUGGGGUAAUUCCGGUGCCGAAAGAAAAUGCGUCAAGUGAUUUGUUAAAAGACAUGGUACCAGUCCAUCAGCACAAAACUUUAGCUACGUUGAUAGCCGAGCUCAAAGGCUUAGAGAUAUGGCGGCAAAACGAACUCAUAAAGGCUUUGGAGGACCCAGAAUUGGUGAGAGAUCCGGAUUUGGUGAAGUAUCUGCAAUCUCUGGUGGAACUCGAUAAGCGAUGGUUCGUCUAUUCGGUCACGAUACUAGACUCUCUCGAAACGCUGGAUCAUCCCGAUGGCAAAACCUCAGAAGAAAUACAACAGGCAGUGCCAGCCGCUGUCAGUCCAGAACCAGCUGCCAAAAGCGUGGAUAAGUUGUUGGACGAUCUCAAGGUAAUAGAGAAGGAUCGAAAGGCACAAUUAAAAAAGGCGCUCCGAAAACCGAAAUUUAUAGCGGAUCCUCACACGAUGGAAAAGCUGUCUGUCUUUCUGAUGGUGGACUCUCUUUUCAUUGAAUAUCACAAUUACUACAAUGCAAUGAAUACGUUGGUGCGUUUUGAUGAUAAAUCGACGGAUAUGCACGAGGUUUUAGCGACUAUUGAGAGCUCCAGAGAGCGCCUGAUUCAACUCUAUAAAUCCAUUACAGCAAAACAAGAAAAACUCCACCAACCCAGUAAAGGACGGGACAGCCACAUGCACUUGUUUACAGCUAUAUUCAAAGAUACUCUCAGGAAGAACGUUGAAAUUGAGGCACAACUGCGCGUUGAAUUUGGAAAUUCUCCGGUCGAUUUUCCGCAGAAACAGCCUUGGCUUCCGAAUCAAAACAAUUAAAGGAGAUCCAACCUUCGUUAUUCCAAUGGCUGUAUGCAACUAGUCCUGCUCUGAAGCCGCCAGUGUUGCAUAGGCAAAAUAUUGAAGGAGAACUGAUUUUCCUAACGCACUCAUCGCACCGCGUUAGGAUACUUUAAAUUCUGAUCAGCAGGAGCCUUGGGAGACAUCGUUCCUUACCAAUUUCCCAGUCCAUAGAAAUCCUCAUUUUUUUAACUUAUUGAGAUUGAUAUUUCUCCAACUCGAGUAGCAUAGGUUGCGUUAAAUUUCAAUUACGCAGUAAAAUUAUUGCUACUGCAUCGGAUCGCGUAUCGUGUAUAUUGUCUAUUGAUUGAUGGAGAUGACUCCUCUUAUUGAAAAUGUCGAUAAAAUUGAAAUCAGUUGUAACAUUUCUCUGUACUGCAAAUUGCCUACAUCAAUGGCCGAAGUGCGAAACCACGGAUCUCCAUGGCAAUGUUUUAAAAGUUCCGCUGCCACUUUAUUUUUUUCAAGAGAAAUAAGUCAAUCUGUAAGCUUGAAAUUUAUGAAAAAUAUUCUGCCAACACAGAGGAAAAAUCAAGGAAAUUUUAAGAAAAAAUAUGUCUAGUACUUUUCCAAUAAAAAGAAAAACCAUGAUAAAAAAAAAAAAAAAAACUAACACAUGAACUCUGUAACGUUGGAAACGGAGAUGCGUGGUUUCGGAUUUUGGCCAUUGACAUCGACGGUGAAACUACCAAGCCACGUACAUUUAGGUUGCUGUGUUUAAAAAUCUCUGCUCUCAUUUUAUCUUUUUUGAAAAAGAACAAAUAUUUACGUAGUUUUCUGCGCAUUGCGAGGGAAAAAGACGGAAUUUUCAAGAACUGACGUUGAGUAGUUUUCCGUUUAAGAAGUAAAGUAUGUCAGGAGGUGUACAACGUCGCAUACGUGGUCUGAAAGUUUCUCCGUCAAUAUGCUCCGGACACAUGAAAUUCAUUUUUCUGAUCGUACAAAGUCGGUAUUUAUCACCCAAAUCAUGUAAAUAUAAUUUUAGACGCGAACUUUUAACGUGAUCUACGUCUCCCCCUCCUAAAAAUUUUCAGUAAAGUUGAACUAUAAAGCGAAGUAUAAAAUGCCAAUUUUUUUCAUCAAAAUACAACGAAAGUUUAAAAAAUAUUUCUUUACAAUAACAUAAAAUAGUUGAUGACGUUUGGUCUUCUCUCACUAUGCGUUGCCACGUCUUCCUUCACGUCUAAUACAUCACGGCGUCACGGUGGAAUUCCCCAAUAUUUCUGCUCCUAUCACACAUGGUGAUAUAAGGUCAUUUCUCUAUAAAAAUUGAAAAGACCUGAUAAGAAAGGAACCCGCGUCCAGGCAUUCAGAAGUAAAAUUUUAGUUCAGUGUUUAAAAUUCCUUUAGGAGUGAUCGGAACCUCAUAGAGCUAUUUCAGUUAAUAUUUGAGUGAAGCCAAGAUGAUUAUAGGAGUGACACUUAGUGUUGCAUCUAUUCUCGCCUUUGUCGAUGCAAGG
rnacentral:lncRNA from 1 species